GAUGAACGCUAGCGGCAGGCUUAAUACAUGCAAGUCGUGGGGCAGCAUGAGUGUAGCAAUACAUUUGAUGGCGACCGGCAAACGGGUGCGGAACACGUACACAACCUUCCUUUAAGUGGGGAAUAGCCCAGAGAAAUUUGGAUUAAUACCCCGUAACAUAUAGAAGUGGCAUCACUUUUAUAUUAUAGCAGCAAUGCGCUUGAAGAUGGGUGUGCGGCUGAUUAGAUAGUUGGCGGGGUAACGGCCCACCAAGUCGACGAUCAGUAACUGGUGUGAGAGCACGACCAGUCACACGGGCACUGAGACACGGGCCCGACUCCUACGGGAGGCAGCAGUAAGGAAUAUUGGUCAAUGGACGCAAGUCUGAACCAGCCAUGCCGCGUGGAGGAUGAAGGUCCUCUGGAUUGUAAACUUCUUUUAUCUGGGAAGAAAAAAGGUCUUUCUAGAUCGUCUGACGGUACCUUAUGAAUAAGCACCGGCUAACUCCGUGCCAGCCGCCGCAGUAACAC
rnacentral:rRNA from 1 species